rnacentral:lncRNA from 1 species
AUUUUUUAAUGGAUCCGCGCGUUUCAAAAAUUGAUUAAUUAGGGUUUCAAUCAAAGAACUCCUCUACCAAAAUUCUAAAUCGUUGCUCCCCCUCCGCUCCCUAACGUCUGAUUUGAUUGAAGAACUCAGCCUCUUGCAGAAAAAACACAAGCAAUUUCACCUUUCAGGGGAACCGAUAGAAAAUUGAAGGGCCAUCAUCUGGUUUGAUCUUAAAAUCUUGUGUUGCUGAUUGUUGAAGGUUAUGCAUUUUAUUUUCAAAGUUCCUUCCUCUGAGAUUCCCCUCCCCAUGCUUUCUGAGUGGAUUGUGAAGUUGUUGUUUUGGAAUUGCAUACAUGGUUCUGCCUUCUGGUGAGUGAGUUAUCUUGGAAGUUGGAAGAUGAUGCACUUUGUUCCUAAUUUUAACCUUUGGGUUAUUCCCCCUUCAUUAUUUGCUUAAGCGUCUAAGGAAAACUUUAUACACAAAUUUAUUAUUACAGGAUGUAUCCUUCUUCGAUAGAGAACCGGUUGGAAAUUCGACCAGCAGGCUGGGGGCAGAUUGUCAAAAAUUGUCAAAUAUAAUUUCAAACAAUUUACAUUUGAUAGUACGGAACACUCUUCAGGUUGAAACUCUUGUCCAGAUCCAUAUUCCCUGCUUCUCACCCGCUCUCCUACGUCUAGCCAUUCAAAAAACUCUGCUCCCAUACGUUUGAUCUGAUCGAAGAACUAAGCCUCUUGCAGAAGCAACUUCACCUUUCAGAUUGAAAAGUUGAACUUAGUUAUCAAGGAGCUCGUUAAGGAAAAUAAUGAAGAAAAAGAAAGGCUAAAUGGAAUUAUUGUCGGGUUGUUCGCUGAAAGAGAUAAGGCGGAUAAAGAUCCUACGCUCGAUACGAUGUCAUAAAUUGAAGCUAUGUUAACAAGUACAAUUUGAAGACAUGCUACAAACACUUGGUUUUGAAUGUUUAUCGUAUUAGGAAUUUUUUAGUUAUUUGAUGUUAUAGCUGGUAUUUCUAUUAGAAUGUUUUAUACGCUUUUGAUACACAUAUGUUUUAUAUAAUUUUGGGUUUUCGUGAUUUUAUUAGACUUUUAUAUAAUUUUGUAAUUUUAUUGAUUAUGUAAUUAUUAUGAAAAAAGCAGGGA